UACGUAGGGUGCAGGCGUUAAUCGGAAUUACUGGGCGUAAAGCGUGCGCAGGCGGUUUUGUAAGUCUGACGUGAAAUCCCCGGGCUUAACCUGGGAAUUGCGUUGGAGACUGCAAGGCUGGAGUCUGGCAGAGGGGGGUAGAAUUCCACGUGUGAGCAGUGAAAUGCGUAGAGAUGUGGAGGAACACCGAUGGCGAAGGCAGCCCCCUGGGUCAAGACUGACGCUCAUGCACGAAAGCGUGGGGAGCAAACAGG
rnacentral:rRNA from 1 species